rnacentral:rRNA from 1 species
CCUACGGGAGGCAGCAGUGGGGAAUAUUGGGCAAUGGGCGCAAGCCUGACCCAGCAACGCCGCGUGAAGGAAGAAGGCUUUCGGGUUGUAAACUUCUUUUAUCAGGGACGAAGCAAGUGACGGUACCGGAUGAAUAAGCCACGGCUAACUACGUGCCAGCAGCCGCGGUAAUCCGUAGGUGGCAAGCGUUAUCCGGAUUUACUGGGUGUAAAGGGCGUGUAGGCGGGAGUGCAAGUCAGAUGUGAAAACUAUGGGCUCAACCCAUAGCCUGCAUUUGAAACUGUACUGCUUGAGUGCUGGAGAGGCAAUCGGAAUUCCGGGUGUAGCGGUGAAAUGCGUAGAUAUACGGAGGAACACCAGUGGCGAAGGCGGAUUGCUGGACAGUAACUGACGCUGAGGCGCGAAAGCGUGGGGAGCAAACAGGAUUAGAUACCCUUGUAGUC